GAAAUAAUCUCCUUCGUUCGAAAAAGCUUGUCCCUCAAAUGGAUGUAUCUAGCAUCAAGUUAGUGUUAGAUACAUCUAUUUGAGAGACAAGCAUGUGACAAGUUUUUUCGAACGGAGAGAGUAGAUC
rnacentral:pre_miRNA from 1 species